rnacentral:rRNA from 1 species
AGUGAACGCUGGCGGUAGGCCUAACACAUGCAAGUCGAACGGCAGCACAGUAAGAGCUUGCUCUUACGGGUGGCGAGUGGCGGACGGGUGAGGAAUACAUCGGAAUCUACUUUUUCGUGGGGGAUAACGUAGGGAAACUUACGCUAAUACCGCAUACGACCUACGGGUGAAAGCAGGGGAUCUUCGGACCUUGCGCGAUUGAAUGAGCCGAUGUCGUAUUAGCUAGUUGGCGGGGUAAAGGCCCACCAAGGCGACGAUCCGUAGCUGGUCUGAGAGGAUGAACAGCCACACUGGAAAUGAGGAGCGGCCCAGGCCCCUACGGGAGGCAGAAGUGGGGAAUAUUGGACAAUGGGGGCAAGCCUGAUCCAGCCAUACCGCGGGGGUGAAGAAGGCCUUCGGGUUGUAAAGCCCUUUUGUUGGGAAAAAAAAGCAGCAGGUUAAUACCCCGCUGUUCUGACGGUACCCAAAGAAUAAGCACCGGCUAACUUCGU